rnacentral:rRNA from 1 species
GUGGAUGAGGCAUGCAAGUCGAACGGUCUUUGGGGGCAACUCUAAAGAUAGUGGCGGAAGGGUUAGUAAUACAUGGGUAACCUACCUUUAACUUGGGGAUAACGAUUGGAAACGAUCGCUAAUACUCGAUGUGGUGGAAGAAGUAUCUUCUUUUCAUUAAAGCGGGGGAUCGGUAACGAUCUCGCGGUUAGAGAGGGGCCCAUGCGAUAUCAGCUAGUUGGUGAGGUAAUGGCUCACCAAGGCUAAGACGUCUAGGCGGAUUGAGAGAUUG